rnacentral:rRNA from 1 species
GAUGAACGCUGGCGGCGUGCCUAACACAUGCAAGUCGAGCGAACGCAUGAGAAGCUUGCCUGUCCGAUGUUAGCGCCGGACGGGAGAGUAACACGUGGACGACCUCCCUAUAAGACAGGAAUGACAUCGGGAAACCGUAGCUAAGACCGGAGAAUAUUUCGAACCGUGGGGAGCAAGAGUGAAAGACGGUCUUGCGUUGAGUAAUAGAUGGAUCCGCGCUGCAUUAGCUAGUUGGUAAGGUAACGGCUUACCAAGGCAACGAUGCAUAGCCGACCUGAGCGGGUGAUCGGCCACACGGGCACUGAGACACGGCCCAGACUCCUACGGGAGGCAGCAGUAGGGAAUCUUACCCCAGGCGGCACUGCCUGACAGCGCAGCGCCGCGUGAGUGAUGACGGUCUUCGGUUCGUAAAGCUCUGUAAUUAGGGAAGAAGGUAUGUGUAAGUAACUGUGGACAUCUUGACGGUACCUAGUGAGAAAGCGCCGGCUAACUUCGUG